AUCUUAUCAUCUAUGGACCCCAUAUAUGCAGAAGUAAAUUUUUGAAAUAAAAUAUUUGUUUGUAGGUUAGUAAAAUCUAACAAUGAGCCAAAAAUUACAAUU